AAUGUACUCCCUCCGUCCGGAAAUACUUGUCAUCAAAAUGAAUAAAAGAGGGUGUAUCUAGAUGUAUUUUAGUUCUAGAUACAUCUCUUUUUGUUCAUUUUGAUGACAAGUAUUUUCGGACGGAGGGAGUAUUUA
rnacentral:pre_miRNA from 1 species